rnacentral:lncRNA from 1 species
CCCUUGUAAAUAAUGUAUGGACCAAAAAAACAAUAGUGAGGAAAAUAAAAACAUUUGGCAUUGAAUGAAAAAGAAUCAACAACAUAUCAAAAAGCGUGGAGGGUGCAGUUAAAGAAGUACUUAGAUGGCAAUUGAGAUCUAUAAAUGCUAUGUUAGAAAAUAAAAGCUUAAAAUCUGUUAUUCAAACUGUAUAUAUAUUUGACCUUCUAAGUGUAUCAUAUAAAAGAGACAUAAAAUGCAAAUACAAUUUUGUAUACAAAUACAAAACACUCUUUUGUAUUUUCCUUGACUGCUUUUUGGAUAUCUUUUCCAAUUAUCUUCCAGGUCACUAAUUCUCUCUUCUGGUAUAUUUAAGCAUCUAUCAAACCCAUCUAUAGAGUUCUUAUAUUCAGUUGCUUUUUUUUUAGCUUGAGGAUUUCUAUUAACGCUUUUUUUCAAAUCUGUUAUGCCAUUUUUUAUAGUUUCCAAUUCUCUGCCAAAAUUGGCAAUCUUGUCUGUUAUCUAUUCAUACACAGUAAAUAUAAUCACUUUAAAUUCUACAUCUGAUCUUCCAAUAUCUGGAGCUACUAUUUCUAAGGCCUUUUUUUUUUUUCAGAUUCUUCACUUCCUGAACUCUUGUAUGCCUGGUAUAUUAUAUCCUAGAAAUGGUACUUGAAAAGAAUAUUUUUAGAAAUAUUUGAGGCCUAGGAUGAUCCUCUCUUUUUCCAGGUAUCUGAUUGCACUGAGAGCAAUCUGGAGCCAGCUUAAUGCAGUCUCAAGAAGUGAGAUUGUUCUAGAACACACAGUGACUUGAGUCCUCGCUCCUCCUGCCCCUCUUCUCUCAUUCCUAGCACAAAGUCCUCUAGAUACUCAGAACUCCUCUCACAAGAGAGCUCCUCAGGCCCUCGCCCUUUAUUUCCUGUUUUCAAAAGCCUCCCGCUUCUGCUACCCUCGGCCCUCAACACUGUGGUCAGUGCCGCUCGGCUCUCAGCUGCCUCAUUUCUUUGCCAAACCUCAAGGGCAAGGCGGCUAUAAUGCUUGGCUGUCUCUCAGGACCUCUUUCUUCUCUCACAUCUUGACAUGUGUUUCCUCCUGAUCUUGACAGCUCUGUAAUCCCCUCAAGCAGAGCUUUCCACUCCUUUUUUUUAAAAACAGAGAUUUUUUUUUUAAAGAUUGGCCCUGAGCUAACAUCUGUUGCCAAUUGAUUUUUUCUUCUUCUUCUCCCCAAAGCCCCCCCAGUACAUAGUUGUAUAUUCUAGUUGUGAGUGCCUCUGGUUGUGGCAUGUGGGGCGCCACCUGGCAUGGCCUGAUGAGCGGUGCUGAGUCUGCGCCCAGGAUCCCAACCAGCGAAACCCUGGGCAGCCAACGCGGAGCGCAUGAACUUAACCACUCGGCCACGGGGCAGCCCCUCCUCUCCUUUUACAGCAAGUUCAAUGUUUCUCCCUAGUCUCAGUGGGAGGCAUCCGUCGGAAGCCACCUGCUUGUGUUUUAAGUACUGUGUCUUUAGUUCUGCCACCUGUAAAAUGGUGAUGCUGACUAUUGUGGUCUUCAAAUUGAUUAGCAUGUGUCUAAAAUGGUGCUUAGCAUUGAGGAAGCACCGUGGACAGCAUUAACUCUCACUCACUGAUUAAAUCAAUGUCUCCAGUGCUUUGGUGUUUGGUGGGUGCUUGUUGGGUAUUAAUAAGCGUGUUCCACAAAGUGAAGAUGAAAAUCAACAGGAACAGAGAAAGCAGGGACGUGUCUCUGGGGCGUUCCUGACCUCUCAUCCUCAGGGGCCCUGACCUUGCCUCCUGGCCUCCUUCAGGUCAUGGGUGUGCCUGGCAGGUACAGUGCCUGCAAAGUGACCGUGGUGGCCCCACCCACACGAGGCAAGAGCUGGAAAUGUCAGAGAGGCAGAGAGGUGGAAGGCUUGGACCCCCCUUCACCAGCAAGCACUGAGGGGUUCCAGACAUUAAUGCUGGGUGCACAGCUGAAGAGGGGGUGGGAAUUUACUCUUUCAACUCUGUCUGUCUGAUACUCAAAGUGCUCCUUCACUUUCAAUUUAAUUUGCAGUUUUCUGACCAGCAGUGAAUCCGAGCUCCUUUUCACAUGCCUGUUGUUAUUUGUAUUCGUUCUUCUGUGAAUUACUCAUUCAUGCACUUUGCCUAAGUUUCUAUGGGUUGUAUCAUUUUCCUACAUGUUUAUGCGAGUGCUUCAAAUAUAUCUUAGGUAUUCGUCCUUCAUUUGUUGUAGAUGAUGCAUCUACUUUACAACAGUUGUUUUUAUAUUAGCUUUUUCACAGGUAAUUUCUGCCUUAAAAACUUACAUUUUUAGUAUUAAAUAUCUGUGUUUUCCUUUAAAGCUUUUGAUUUUGCUGAUCUUGGUUAAAAAGCUUGUCCUCAUCCAUAGGUUGUACAUGUAUUUGCAAAGAAUUCCUUGCAAGAUGUUUCCUGUUUUACAUUUAGGUCAUUAUGUCAUCUGGGAUUUAUUUUAGUAUAAUGUGUGAGACAAGGACGUCAUCUUAAAAAGAAACCUUCCAUUCUCCACUGAAUUGAAAGGCCACAUUAGCCAUACAUUAAAUCCUCGUGUAAACUGAGUUCUGGAUUCUCGGUUCUGUUCCACCAACAUGUUUAUCUAAGUCUUUGCCAAUAUUUUAUUGAUCUCGUAAGAUUCUAAUAGAAUUUAUUACUUGCUUGUAUUAAUUUGGGGGGAAUUGACAUUUUAAGAACAUUAAAUAUUCUCGUGUAAGAACACGAUAUGUCAUUCCUUUUAUUCAGAGUUUGUUUCAGGAAUUUCAAUAAAAUGCUACUGAAUUUUCAUGCAAAUUUGUGCUUUUCUUUUGGAACUUAUUUAUGGAUUUUUUGGUUUUGAAUGGAAUUUUUUCAUUAAGACUUUUUUUAGAGUAAUUUUAAGGUUCACAGUAAAAUUGAGGGGAAAGCACAGAGAUUUCCCAUAUACCCUCUGCCCCAACGCAUGCACAGCCUUGCCCAUUAUCAACGUCCCCCACUGGAGUGGUGCGUUUGUUACGAUUGAUGAACCUAUACUGACACAUCACAGUCACCCAAAGUCCAGAGUUUACAUUAGGGUUCACUCUUCGUGUUAUACAUUGGGUGUGUUUGGGCAAAGGUGUAAUGACAUGUAUUUAUCAUUGUUGUAUCAUUUCGAGUAUUUUCACUGCCCUAAAAAUCUUCUGUGCUCCUCAUUCAUCCCCACCCCCCACAGCAACCCAUGGAAACCACUGGUUUACUCUCUCCACAGUUUUGCUGUUCCAGAAUGUCACAGCAUUGGAAUCACACAGGAUGGUGCCUUUCAGAUUGGCUUCUUUCACUUUGUGAUACGCAUUUAAGUUUCCUCCAUGUCUUUUCAUGAAUGGAAUAAUUUUAAUUUUUAUGUACUUAUUACCAGUAUAGAAAGAAACUAUCAAUCAUUGUAUAAAAUCAACUAGUAUACCUCACUGCUCCUGGUCUUCUUAUGCAUUCUAUAAGUUAGUUUUACUAGAGUUCCUUGAAUUUAUUAUUAUAUAAUCAUGUCAUUUACAAAAUAAGAUAAUCCUAUUUCUUCUUUUUAAAUAUGUACAUUGGUUAUUUCAUUUCCCUACCUUAUUACCUCUUAGUACCUCUAAAAAUGUGAUGCUCAAACAUAUUAUUUAAAAUGUAAGGUAUCUUAAUGAAUUUCUUUAUGUGUUGAUUAAACUAACAGAGGUAGUAGGAUCUGAAAAAGGAACCCUUUACCCAAACAAUUGCUGCUCAUUAAAAUGACCACAGAAUAAGAAAAUGCUCUCUGAGUUGCUUUCUGUCCUAAACUAAGGUGUGUCAAAGAUUCAUUUAAAAAUUUACAUUUCUCCUAUAAAUUCACUCCAAUGUUGGACUCUGAAGUGAGGAUAACAUAGUUUGAGAUAUCAGUUUUUAGGGAAAAAAACUACAUAACCCAUACUUUUUGUGAGCUAUCAAAUUAUAUAUGUAAAGGUAGACUUUUUUCCUUAAAAUUAAUCUUUUUUCUAAGUUAAAUGUGUCUUUCUGGAUAACCCUAUAACGUGGUCCUAAUAAACACUUUUAAAUUUUGACAAAAGGUAAGAAGUUAGUAUGCUGUUUCAUAUUUAUUAAGGGAUGUCCCAAACUUUUCACUGCAGAGACUGUAUUUCCAGCAUGUAAGGAAGAAACUUUGUUUAAUUUUACUACACGAAGAGAAAGAAGAUAAUAGUUAAUUAAGUUACAUAAAAAUCCGUUUCUCAUUACAGCAGGCUCGGGCACUGAGUUUCCUGCUGGGAAGUCGUGAAGAUGUUACGUCGUUGCCUCCAGUUUUCUCUCACAAUAAAACGAUUUCCUUCAGAGUGAGAGGAAUAUGUGAAACAGAAGAUAAAAACACUCAGCCAAUAUUAGCAUAAGAUUUAAGUUGAAGUUAUAGCGUACUGGAGUCUCUUGAUUACAUGACGGUAAAAUACAAUAUGACAUCUUCAUUGUGCUAGGUGCCUUUUUGGAUAACAUUUAUGACUCAUUAAUGUGAAACUCAAGGGGAGUGUAUCCCAUAUUAAAACUUGAUGGCAGAGAUGGGGAAAAAUCUAUACCGUAUUCUAAAGCAGCUGUUAUAUGAUUAUCUGCUUCACUGGUCAGAGAAAUAGUUAAUUCCCAGGUACAAAUAACAUCAUGAAACACAACAUUCUUCCUUAGAGAUAGCUUAACUCAAUAUUACUACACUCUUAAUCCAGUCAUUGACCCAAACCAACUUCAACAGGGAGCAACAUACAGCAGGAAACCACCACAGUGGAUCAACUGUCCCUUGUUGGUAUAAAUUAUUCCCAUCUAUUCAGAAGAAACCCUCAGCCGUCACAUUUCUGCCAUAUCACCUUUCCACAAAUCAAAAUAAAAUGGAGUAUAGAGUUUGAUAUCUCAGCUACUUGGAAAAGCGGGGAGUGCAAGUCAGGUCUAGCAGUUUUAAAUUCCACAGGCAAUGAGAUCAAGAUGUUACAAGGCUGGCAAAGGCAAUUUUUUCCUAGCUUCUGUCUAACAAUAUUCAUGUAUCUGGAGGAACGGAGAAGGGGACGAGAGAUUUACCCGUUACUUUUACCUCCUACGGCUGUGGAUUCUUAAUAAGUAGUCAUGCUCCUUUAAAAUCAACAUCAGUAGGCUAAAUUAAAUUAGAGUUCAAAUGCUUGAAAUAAGUUUGCCAACAUCAAACAAUCCUCCCACCCAUAAGACCAGCGGGUUGAAUCGGGUGUCAAUUGGCAAGCAGGGACAAGAGGUUCAGUUUCCGGGGACCAGCCGAAGGUGAGUGUUCAGCCAAAAACUAUCCAGAGAGCCAGCAGCACAAUUCUAAAACCUCUGAGAAUGAGCUUCAUCAGUGUGGGAAUAAUUGGGGGAAAAGAGAUGAGUUUCAUAUAAUUACCUGGAACCACUGGAAAUCCACAGGUUGGAAGAUGCGUGAUUCAAUGGCAAGUCAGAAUGUAGACUUAGGUCAAGCACCUAUUAAGAGGCUAAAAUUAUCAUCUCUAACUCUUUUCCAUAUUAUUUUGUUAUUUACUCAUUAAUCAGUAAGCAUUUAUCGGAAACAUGCCUUUCCUAUGGUACACAGUAAUUUGGAGUACAAAAGAAUAUCAACAUCUGUCCCCCCAAAAUUUAUGAUCAUCCCAGAUGUAGAAAGGUAAUCUUUCAGAUUAGUGGUAUCCUAAGUUAAUCAUAUUUCCACCUGUCCAUGAAUAUGUUCAACAACCGAGUAGGGCAUCUGGAACAGCUUAGUCAGGUGCAAUAUGUAGAAGAAAUUAAUGAGAGUUCACUUCAUUUGAUAAGUCAGAUUCAAAAGGUGUUUAUCCCACUAAGUUUCAUCUCAAUCACUUACAAGUAGUUUGGGUGUCUAAGUGAUAAAUAAACUACUUGCACUGACCCAUUCAUCAUAUUGCAAUAAUGCCCUGAGUUUAAUCCCACUUGAUUGACUUUUCUGAGGAUCUAUCCCAUUAUUAUUCACCCACAUCUUCCCUAGCUUCCCCUUCUAUCUCUUCACUUCAUAAAUUCCCCUCCUCUCUUUUUUUUUUUAGAAUAAAUCAAAGUAAUUUUUUAGCCUGAAGAUGAGCUGAACUAUAUGAAGAAUGUAACAAAUGAAAUGUGUUGCAACCUGGAUAGGACAACAGAGAUGUCAUAAAAAACAUUUUUUAUUGUGGAUAAAGUUCAGAGUUAACUCACUGGCCAAAGGUAAUGUUUAUCAUGCUAUUAGUAACCACCAAUAUCACAUUAAUUUUUUUUUUUAAAGAUUUUAUUUUUUCCUUUUUCUCCCCAAAGCCCCCCGGUACAUAGUUGUAUAUUCUUCGUUGUGGGUCCUUCUAGUUGUGGCAUGUGGGACGCCGCCUCAGCGUGGUUUGAUGAGCAGUGCCAUGUCCGCGCCCAGGAUUCGAACCAACGAAACACUGGGCCGCCUGCAGCGGAGCGCGCGAACUUAACCACUCGGCCAUGGGGCCAGCCCCAACAUCACAUUAAUUUUUAAGAGAUAGAGAAUAUCUCUUCCUUAGACUAUGCUUAAUGUUAUUUUUAUAAUAAGACUGAAGCUGACUUUAAUCUUUUUUGCCUCAACACGUUUUUGGUUUAUUAUAGGGAUGCUUGGGAUAUUUCUCUUGCUUUGUCUUCUAUAAUACGUUGAUUUCUGCUAUUUCUCAGAGCACUUGAGGCUUUGAAAUGUUCUUGCCCCAAAUUCACAUUCACUGUGAGCUGUCAAGAGACGUUAAGACAAAGCAGCUUCUGUCCUGGUGCCUCUUUGAGGGGGUAAGACAGAACUUCGGGUGAAUUAGUCAUCUUCAGUGUCACCUGAGCUCCUGAAUUGCAGCACUGGAGUAUUACAGAAGUGAGCCUCAGACUUGUAUGUGCUUGCUGAUCUCCUUAGGGUCUUGUUAAAAUGCAGAUUCCGAUUCAGUAGGUCCAUGUGAGGUCUAAGACUCAACACACAUAAGACAGCCCCUAGAGCAUCACACCCUGGGUAGCACCGAUUCUUAGCAUCUACUGCAUGAGUUUAUCCAACAGACUAUGUGCUUGGAGUGUUGUUGAUGCCCACAAAUGCUUAUUGAGUGAAUGAGCGUCUAAAACUUAACCUGACAUAAAAUUCACCAUCUUGGCAGCACCAUCAACUCUUUUCAACCCUCAAGGCUUCCAAGACUCCUGUGAAAUUUCCCUUAUGAGAAAAGCUCAUGACCUGAAAAUCCAUCUUCCUCACUAAGGAACCUACCACGGGAGACGUCAGCUUGAACAAAGGCAGCAGAGUGCAGUUCUGGCACCUGAACCUCAGGGGCACGUCAGAAAUACCUGUGGAGCUUUUUAAAAGUACAGGGUCCUGAGGAUGGUAUUUGAAGCUGGAGUCUUUUAUUCUUUUCUACUGCUGCAUAACAAAUUGCCACAAGCCCAGUGUCUUAAAACACACUCAUUUAUUAGCUCCAGAUUCUGUAGGUCUGAAGUCCAGGCGCCACGUGGCUGGGUUUUCCGCUCACAGCUCAAAAACUGAAAUCAAGAUCAGCUGUUUGCAAAAUUCCAUUCCUCGUGAUCAUAGGACCUCAGACCCUGUUUCCUGGGUGACCUUCAGCUGGGGCCACUCUCUGCUCCUAGAGGUCACCUGCACUCCUUGCCACACGGCCGCCUCAGAUCCUUCCUGUGCUUCAAGUCUCUGGCCUCCUCCAUCUCUGACCUCUAGACUCAGAUUAAAGGGCAGGAGUGAUCAGACGAGGCCCAUCCAGAUAAUCUUAAAGUCAGCUGAUUUGGGAUUUUAUUCAUAUCUGCAAAGUCACUUCCACAACGCCUAGAUUAGCGUUGACUGAAUAACUGGCAGAAGAAGUGUGUACCCCAGGGCCGGGAAUUUGGGGGCCACCUGAGAAUCCUGCCUACCACAGCUCCCAAAUGAAAGAGUAGGGAAACUUGUUCACCUCCCCGCCCUCAAUUCCCAGUAAAUGAGAACAGUACGCCACUGACGCUGAACCCACAGCAACUCUGAAAACGGGAAGGAGUGAAGUUAGCACACUGGUCAUUUGGGGAGGUUCUGGAGACCACGCUGAGGCUGGAGACUGAAGGAGCAGAGAGAGGCCACCUCAGGGCACGCAGGAGGCCUGCAGCCAGGAAGCCCACAGGCUCUAGGUCCGCAGGUUGGGGGAUGGGCUACGGGCUGCAUACAGUGAGUGGAACAGGCCUGGUGGCCCUGCCUCAUUUGUAUACCCAUGCCACCACACAGUUUUAUGAAAUAAACUGUAUAUUUCACCAUAUAUUUUGGUAUAAUCACCAGAAUAGUACAGAGAGAAAAAGGUUAAAAAUGCAUAUCUUUGGAGAAUGAGACUGGAGGUGAGGUGUCAGCAGAGGACUUGACUUUUCAUUUAACUCUUUUUUGUACUCAUUAGCUUCUUUAAAAAAAUUUUUGUGUAUAUAUACCAAUUUCACUGUAAAUAUAAAUGCAUUGAACUUUUUGGCAUUAUCUAUUGAUUUGUAAGAAUUCUUUAUAUAGUCUGAAUACUAAUCCUUCAGUUUUAUGUUAUUUUUUUUUUUGCUGCUUGAUACUUAUUUUCCAAUUUAUGAUGACUUUUCACAUACAGAAGUUCUUAAUUUUAGUGUAGUCUAGUUUACCAAUUAUUGAUUUUAUGGUUAGCGAUUUUUGAGUAGAAUUAAAAUUUUUUAGGAUUAAAAAUUUCAGGAUUUCUUCACUUGCAAACAAUAGAAAAUUCAACUUAAGUUUCCAUAAACAACAACAACAAAAAACCAUUGUCUCACACAAUUGUAGAGUUCUUCAGUGAUGAUAUCUUCAGGUAUGGCUUGAGUAUGAGCAAAUGACCACCAGGAUUCAUCUCUGUGUGAACUCACGAGGGUAGCUCCAUUCUUCACGUCCAUCCUCCAGGUGGUGUUACCAGCAGCCUUAGAUGCAUUCGGAUGACCACGAAAGAAGAGCAGCCCCAGACCUCGACCCUCGUGCCAUCACGUCCACAGGAAACAAGGAAAGUUCCUCUCCCCAGAAGCUCAAGCUCAGGUUUCAUCAGCUCUUGUUUGCAUACACGCCCAACCUUAACCCAUAUGGCCAAGAAGAUGAGGCAAGCUGAUGGGUUUACAACAAUCUGAAAAUGGCACCAACCACUGAAAAAUACAUGGGCUGAGAGUGGGGAAAUGAGGGCAAGUUUACCAGAAACACUAAUCCUUUGGGGCUGGUGGCCAAGAACCCAAUAAAUGUCCAGACAAUUUUUUUAUUAUUUUAUUGAGGUCAUAGUAUUUUAUAACCCUGUGAAAUUUCAGUUGUACAUUAUUAUUUGUCACCAUACAUAUGUGCCCCUAACCCUUUAUGCCCACUUCCCAACCCACUCCCCCUCUGGUAACCACUAAUCUGUUCUCUUUGUCCAUAUGUUUGUUUAUCUUCCACACAUGAGUGAAAUCAUAUGGUGUUUGUCUUUCUCUGUCUGGCUUAUUUCGCUUAACACACUACCCUCAAGUUCCAUCCAUGUUGUUGCAAAUGGGACCAUUUCGUAUUUUUUAUGACUAAGUAGCAUUCCAUUGUAUGUAUACCACAUCUUUAUCCAUUCAUCAGUUUAUGGGUACUUGGGUUGCUUCCACGUCUUGACUAUUGUGAAUAAUGCUGCACUGAACACAGGGGUGCACAGUCUCUUUAAAUUGUUGAUUUCACAUUCUUUAGAUAAACACCCAGUAGUGGGAUAGCUGGGUUGUAUGGUAUUUCUAUUUUUAAUUUUUUGAGAAAUCUCCAUACUGUUUUCUGUAGUGGCUGCACCAGUUUGCAUUUCCACCAGCAGUGAAUGAGGGUUCCCUUUUCUCCACAUCCUCUCCAACAUUUGUUACUUUUUGUCUUGACAUUAGUAGCCAUUCUAACAGAUACGAGGUGAUAUCUCAAUGUAGUUUUGAUUUGCAUUUCCGUGAUGAUUAGUGAUACUGAAUAUCUUUUCAUGUGCCUGUUGGCCGUUUGUAUAUCUUCUUUGGAAAAAUGUCUGUUCAUAUGCUCUGCUUGUUUUUUUAUUGGGUUGUUUGUUUUUCUGUUGUUGAGUUGUGGUGAGUUCUUCAUCUAUUUGGAGAUUAAUUCCUUGUCGGAUAUAUGAUUUACAAAUAUUUUCUCCCAAUUGGUGGGUUGUCUUUUCAUUUUGUCCCUGGUUUCCUUUGCCUUGCAGAAGCUCUUUAGUCUGAUGUAGUCCUGUUUGUUUAUUUUUUCUUUUGUUUCCCUUGCCUGAAUAGAUAUGGUAUUUGAAAAGAUGCUUCUAAGCCCAAUGCCAAAGAAUGUACUGCCUAUGUUUUCUUCUAGGAGUUUUAUGGCUUCACAUCUUACCUUCAAGUCUUUAAUCCAUUUUGAUUUAAUUUUUAUAUAUGGUAAAAGACAGUGGUCUACUUUUAUUCUUUUGCAUGUGGCUGUCCAGUUUUCACAACACCAUUUAUUGAAGAGACUUUCCUUUCUCCAUUGUAUGUUCUUGGCUCCUUUGUAUGAAGGAUUAGCUGUCUGCAGAUGUGUGAGUUUAUUUCUAGGCUUUCAAUUCUGUCCCAUUGAUCUGUGUGCCUGUUUUUCUACCAGUACCAUGCUGUUUUGAUUACUAUAGCUUUGUAGUAUAUUUUGAAGUCAGGGAUUGUGAUGCCUCCAGCUUUGUUCUUUUUUCUAAGGAUUCCUUUAGCUAUUUGAGGUCUUUUGUUUUUCCAUAUAAAUUUUAGGAUUCUUUGUUCUGCCUCUGUGAAGAAUGUCAUUGGGAUUCUGAUUGGGAUUGCAUUGAAUCUGCAGAUAGCUUUAGGUGAUAUGGACAUUUUAACUAUGUUUAUUCUUCCAAUCCAUGUGCAUGGAAUAUUUUUCCAUUUCUUUGCAUCUUCUUCAAUUUCUUUCAAUAAUAUCUUUUAGUUUUAAUUGUAUAGGUCUUUUACCUCUUUCAUAAAAUUGAUUCCUAGAUAUUUUAAUCUUUUCGUUAUGAUUGUAAAUGGGAUUGUAUUCUUCAGUUCUUUAUUAGAGUAUAGAAAUGCAACUGAUUUUUGCAAGUUGAAUUUGUACCCUGCAACUUUGCUGUAGUUGUUAUUUAUUUCUAAUACUUUUCUGAUGGAUUCUUUAGGGUUUUCUAUAUAUAGAACCAUGUUGUCUGCAAACAGCAAAAGUUUUGUUUCUUCCUGUCCAAUUUGGAUUCCUUUUAUUUGUUUUUCUUGCCUAAUUGCUUUGGCCAAAACCUCCAGUACUAUGCUGAAUAGGAGUGUUGAGAGUGGGCACCCUGGUCUUGUUCCUGUUCUCAGAGGAAUGGCUUUCAGGUUUUCCCCCAUUGAGUAUGACAUUGGCUGUGGGUUUCUAAUGUUGAGGUACUUUCCUUCUAUACCCAUUUUAUUGAGAGUUUUUUAUUAUAAAUGGAUGUUGGAUCUUGUCAAAUGUUUUUUCUGCAUCUAUUGAGAUGAUCCUGUAGUUUUUAUUCCUCAUCUUGUUAAUGUGGUGUAUCAUAUUUAUUCAUAUGUGUAUGUUGAACCAUCCCUGGGUCCCUGGUAUAAAUCCUGCUUGAUCCUGGUGUAUGAUCCUUUCAAUGUAUAGCCGUAUUCACUUGGCCAAUACUUUGUUGAGGAUUUUGCAUCUAUGUUCAUCAGUGAUAUAGGCCUGUAAUUCUGCUUCUUUGUGCUGUCCUUGGCUGCCUUUGGGAUCAGGGUGGUGUUGGCCUUGUAGAAUGAGUUAGGAAGUGUUCUGUCUUCUUCAGUUUUUUGGAAUAGUUUGAGAAGGAUAGGUGUUAAAUCUUC